rnacentral:rRNA from 2 species
GGGUUGUGAGGUUAAGCGACUAAGCGUACACGGUGGAUGCCCUGGCAGUCAGAGGCGAUGAAGGGCGUGCUAAUCUGCGAUAAGCGCCGGUAAGGUGAUAUGAACCGUUAUAACCGGCGAUACCCGAAUGGGGAAACCCAGUGUGACUCGUCACACUAUCAUUAACUGAAUCCAUAGGUUAAUGAGGCGAACCGGGGGAACUGAAACAUCUAAGUACCCCGAGGAAAAGAAAUCAACCGAGAUUCCCCCAGUAGCGGCGAGCGAACGGGGAGGAGCCCAGAGCCUGAAUCAGCAUGUGUGUUAGUGGAAGCGUCUGGAAAGGCGCGCGAUACAGGGUGACAGCCCCGUACACAAAAGCGCAUGUGCUGUGAGCUCGAUGAGUAGGGCGGGACACGUGGUAUCCUGUCUGAAUAUGGGGGGACCAUCCUCCAAGGCUAAAUACUCCUGACUGACCGAUAGUGAACCAGUACCGUGAGGGAAAGGCGAAAAGAACCCCGGCGAGGGGAGUGAAAAAGAACCUGAAACCGUGUACGUACAAGCAGUGGGAGCCCCACCACCAAAGCAUU